rnacentral:lncRNA from 1 species
ACACCAGUGCGAAACAAGUCCAUCAUAGGCUCUAUGGUGUCGCCUUCACUGAAACCAAAUGAAACAAUAUAUUUGGAUAUGUCGAGUACUGAAGCUAAUUAUUCUUGUCUAAGAUCUCCCUUGAUUCUUGUUAUCAGCAAAAUUUGAAACUAUUAUGAACUCUGCAGGAAAUAUUUCUUAAAGCCUUCAAAAUUUGGAACUAUUAUGAACUCUGCAGCAAAAAUUUCAUAUCAUGAGUGAUAAAUUAAUGUGGUGCCAUGUCAG